AGUGAAGAGGUGCCAGAAUCCGCGAAGAGGGUCGACGAAUGCGCUGCCGCGGAGGGCCGUGGAAGAACUUGCCGAUGGAGGGACCACAGAGGGAUCUAUGGGAGAACAACGGCAACUGCAGGAGAGUGGGCCAAAUAAUCAUGGCAACAGGACUUUUAGAAGCACGUCCUCUGAAAGCCAUUUUCUGCCUGUGGUUGGAAAGGGACUGUGAGUCUUUCCUCAGGAAGUCAGUAGCCCUACCUGGUGAGGUGAUCAAGAGUUUGCUAGCACAAGAGAUGAAGCAACAAUGGCCAUGAGGGAUUCAAGGAUUAUGCGUCUCUGCACCCUACAAUACACCAACUGGCAGUUCCAUCAUUUGAAAGAAAAUCUUCAAGGUAAAGACAUUUACAAUGACACAAAAACCUUUCAAAGGCAUCAUGGUCCUAAAGGGCUUUCCCCAAGGGACAGCACAGUGUGUUCCAGGCCCUGACAAGAGGUUUAAGACCUGUGACACAGACUGAAGCUCUCCUGGCAUACUCUGAAGCUCUCCUGGCACCCUCCCCUUUAUGCUUCACAGGUGUUUCUCCUAAUAAAUUUCUUGUAUGUCUCAUCCCAUCUGGG